UAACUCUUUCAGGGAUCUAAAAACUAGGGGAGACCAUGGUUCUAUAUUAAGUAGAGGAUAUUAAGAACCUCCUGCUUUUGCUAGAGAAAUUUUGAAGAGCACGCCAGACCCUGAGUAGACAAGUCAUGUGACAGGAAACCAAAGACACCAGAGAAGAGCUGACUUAACUGAGGAGGCAAGCCUGUAUGUAUGUCUAAAAUGGCACAUUGAUCAACUCUUUGAACACAACUCUUCACAAAAAGUCAGUUUGCAGCCCGACAUAUGAGAUGAGUUAAAUGAGAGAUGGACACCAUGAUUCCAUAGGUGUGAGGCCUCUGAGCUUGUCCAGGAUAAACUGAAGUGGAUCAUCAGGACACAUGAUUGCUAGGCCUGUGAGGAGAGCCUGUAACAAUAU